AUUGAACGCUGGCGGCAGGCCUAACACAUGCAAGUCGAGCGAGCGGCGGACGGGUGAGUAAUGUAUGGGGACUGCCCGAUAGAGGGGGAUAACUACUGAAAACGGUAGCUAAUACCGCAUACUAUCGGAUAACCCAUAGGGGAUUAGAUAGUAGGUGAGGUAAUGGCUCACCUAGGCGACGAUCCCUAGCUGGUCUGCGAGGAUGAUCAGCCACACUGGUGCUGAGACACGGCCCAGACUCCUACGGAGGCAGCAGUGGGGAAUAUGUGACAAUGGGCGCAAGCCUGAUGCAGCCAUGCCGCGUGUAUGAAGAAGGCCCUAGGGUUGUAAAGUACGUUUAUUCGGGAGGCGUUACCGACAGAAGAAGCACCGGCUAACUCCGUGCCAGCAGCCGCGGUAAUUC
rnacentral:rRNA from 1 species